CCCUUAGAUGUUCUGGGCGGCCCGCGCACUACAAUGGAGUGUGCAGCGAGUGCCGAAGUAGAGUUUUCCGAGGUAUUCUUGCAAUGCUCGUUUUGAUGGGGAUAGACCCUUGCAACUGUUGGUUUUGAACGAGGAAUUCCUUGUAAGCAUGGUUUAUCAUCCGACGCUGAAUGCGUCCCUGCCCUUUGUACACACCGCCCGUCGCUCCUACCGAUGAGUCGUCCGGUGAAGUUCGUAGACCUCGUGAUCGCGGAUCACUGGGGGAAGCAAAAUGAACCUCGCGGUUUAGAGGAAGGAGAAGUCGUAACA
rnacentral:rRNA from 1 species